AUGACUUUGCUGAACACUCUGGAGCUAGUGUGGCUGGGGCUUCUCCUUGGCUGUUUCUGUAAGGUUGCAGACAGCAAGGACCAAGUAUCUCAGCCUUCUACUAUGGUAUCUUCAGAGGGAGCUGUGGUGGAAAUCUCCUGCAAUCACUCUAUAUCCAAUGCUUACAACUUCUUCUGGUACCUUCAUUUCCCAGGACAUGCACUGAAACUCCUUAUUAAGGGCACAAGGUCUUCUCAACAGGGACGCUAUAACAUGACCUAUGAACGAUUCUCUUCAUCACUGCUCAUCUCUGAGGUGCAGGUGGCAGAUGCUGCUACUUAUUACUGUGCUUUGGAAGACACAGAGGCAGGGAACCUGUGCAGAGUCUAG